UGGUAUUGUUUUUAAUUUUAAUCUUUUUGCUCACUUGUUGCUAGUAUAUAGAAAUACAACUGAUUCUUGUACUUUGACUUUGUAUUCUAUGACAUUGCUAAAUUCACUUAUUAGUUCUAGUUGUUUUAAAUGAAAGUUUAGAAUUUUUUAUGUCAUGUCAUAUGUAGAUAAACAGCUUUACUUUGUCCUUCGCAAUCUGUAUGCCUUUUAAUUUCUCUCUCUUGCCUGACGGCGAGGACUUACAGUAUGGCGUUGAACAGGAAUUGUAACACUGGAUACCCUCACCUUAUUCCCAGUCUCAGGUGGAGCAUCCAGCCUUUUUACCAAUCCCUAAGAUGUCCAUCUAUCCCACUGUCUGCUCUGUGUAGUUCACACAAAAUAGUUAAAACUAAAGCUAUUGCUGAAGUUCAUGUUCAACAGCUAAAACUGAAGCUAAGACAGGAAGACACCUGGAAAUAAUUGAAAUAACAGUGAAGUGGCUUACGAGACUGAAAGGAGCGGGGAUCUGCUGCCCAUCACACUUGCUACACACCAAGUUUGGUAGAGGGUAGGCCGUGGAGCAUCACUCAAGAAGCGUGAAAUGGCUGCACGGUGAGUCCAAGUUCACGGUCAGAGAAAUGGUCAUUAUUCUACUAAUUUUUAGUUUUGUCUGGAAUCCAAGACAAUAUUGACUGAAGAGUUAAACCUCCAAAAGACAGGCUGGUCAUCUUGCUGGACCUUUCUUCCUCUUUGUCAAGUUUUACAUCACUAUAUAAAAAAGUGUGUGACCGUCUUCAGCUCUCCAUGCCUUCCUCAGUGUAAGUUUCUAUGUAGUUUCUGCAGACUCUGCCAUUAAGCUGUUGUACUUCUUCCCUACUUUGCCAAGUCUACUUUUCCAUGAUAAAUUGUAAUGCAUUUUUCUCAUAAACACUGCAAGUUGGGUAAAUAAUUGUGUUUGAUUGCACUGAUAGAAGGGAAAAGGAAGGUUGAGGGUCAGCUUUCAUAACUGGGCUGUGGUUUACAUGUCUAUACUCUGAUUCUCCCCAUGGCCUUGAUCUUUCAGACUCUUCACUCUAUUAUACAUAUUCUCAUACAUUGCUUCAAAUUCUUCACUGAACAAUGGGCCACAUGUC